CCGCGGUAAUACGAAGGGGGCAAGCGUUGUUCGGAAUUACUGGGCGUAAAGGGCGCGCAGGCGGUUUGGUAAGUGUGAUGUGAAAGCCCCGGGCUCAACCUGGGAAUUGCCUCACAUACUGCCAGGCUAGAGUACGGCAGAGGGUGGUGGAAUUUCCUGUGUAGCGGUGAAAUGCGUAGAUAUAGGAAGGAACACCAGUGGCGAAGGCGACCACCUGGGCUAAUACUGACACUGAGGUGCGAAAGCGUGGGGAGCAAACAGG
rnacentral:rRNA from 1 species